ensembl:lncRNA
UAAGAGUGUUGAUGUCUUGCAGUGGAAUUUGAAUGUAAUCUAGAACUACACCUUUCACUCAUUUCACUUUUUGAAGGUGAGCAUGUGCAGGCAGACAGGAGGAAAUAGAAAGCAAAGAAGAAGAUAAAUGAGAUCUGACAGGAUGACAUCUGACAGCAGACGGACCAGCACAGGCCUGUUCAGACUGAUUUCCUUUCUUCUGCUUUCCACACACAUAUACAGCAUGCUGUACAGUUAGACACAGAAGAAAAUACUGGAGACUGAAUUAUAGGUUUCAAAUGGGGAAGAAAAAAACAACCCCCCCCCCCAAAAAAAAAC